UGAUGUGUCGUGAAAGCUCGAGAGGGAGUUCGUUCCCUGAGAGUGGGAACGAGACAUCACGGAGGUUGCCGUUUUCACUGCUCUAUCAGCUAAGCAGCGUUCAGUAUCAGAUUCUGAUGUAAUUGUUGCGUGCACUGCAUUUUACACUGCCUCUCGAGCUCAUCUGUAUUUGCAUGCGAGUGCAUACUUCACGUCAAUUGGCCAGUCAUUUGACUGGCGUGAGCCAAUAGGAUUUCAGGAAAGGUUGGAAGGAAAGGAGUUUUCAUAAUGAAAAAUACCUCUGUGAUGUCUCGUUCCCGCUCUCAGGGAAUCGAGGUUACGAUAGUAACUGGAGAUGUUUCUUCAUGCACCUCAAUCCAGUCCAUUAGGUGACUUCAAGCUGGCCGUCAACCGCCAAUCAAAUCAAAGCGUGCCGUAAAAGAUUUCAAAUGCGCAACAGACAGCGACGAGACAUAAGGGCAGCGACAAAGUAGUUUUUAGAGAUUCAGAGAAAAGAAGCACAUUGACUGUUUUUCAUUUCACAUGUAUUUCAUUAUUCAUCUUCCUUACAACUUUUGUGUUUUUCUGGACAAAUCCAAGUGAUCGCCACGCUAAGAGUCACGUGAACGUGUGCCGUACAGACCAACGGCCAAGGCCCAUCAGAGGGAUAUUUCCCAGGUUUGCUUGCAUAAGGUAAGAAUGAAUUAAUGUAAAUUGUUACCUGCGACAGGUGUUGCAUACUCUUCAUUUUUACUUCUUUUUUUAAAUCUAGGUCAGAGGAUGGUGGGUUGUUUUUUUUUUUUAUUUAUUUUGAGAAAAUAAAGUUUUCCAUUUAACACACAUCUACCAGGUGACUGUUGUUUUUAAUGUUUUUAGCAGGAAAACUACAUUCCCAUGCAAUUUAUUUGUAACCUAUCCUUGUUUUGUGCAAAUAUGUCCCUGAAACUCUUUUAGGUUGGCCAUUUUGCUGUUGUGGGAGGAGCAUCAGUUGAGGCACGGACUGUAGUCUAACCAAUGAGCCGCCUCUCAGAUGAGUUGGGCAGCAGGAGACUGAAAGAUGAGCCUGAACAAAAAUCUCCAUUUAGAGGCACCAGGUGUGCAUGUUUGAUGCCUUACAACAAUAACAACAUGAAAGCUGAGAAAGAGGAGUCCUCAGAGAUCAUCUUUGCUGUGACGGUGCAAAAACGGCAUGGUUGUGCCCCUGAACAGCUUGAGGCAUUGCCUUGUGCUGGAAAGCCCUGAGUUCAUCAGACUGUCUGUUUAAUAAGCAGUAAGGACGUCCUUUUUGAAUCAGGAAAGUAGCUUCAAGUGCUGAACAGCAAACUGUGAUAAUGUGUCAGUCUGUUGUACUUUGGUGUUUCCGGCUUUUUUUGGUGAGUCUAUUUGCAUUUACUUCCACUUUACAGAUCCAGUUUGUGUUUGUUGUCAGUUUUACCAGAUCUUCUGGCAUUUGCUUAAAUUCGGAAUGAAUUAUUCCAUGUAAUUAAGUCAUUUUGUCAUCCAUUUUAUCAUAUUCUGUGCCUAUGUUGUAUUUUAAGCUCUGUCUCCCAGUUUCACAGACAAGGCUUAAGCCUAGUCCCAGACUAAAAUGCACAUUUGAGCUGUCUUAACUGAAAAUAACUUGCUCUGACAGAUCUUAAAAUGUGUCUGUCAUUGUUUUGUCUCAAGAUGCACACCAGUAUUGUGUUUUUCCUCAGGCAUUUUUUAUAAAAAACUUUAAAUAUCCUAAUUUUACUACGUCUAAUCCUUUAUUAAUAGUUCAUCCCUGUCUGUGAAUCAGGGCCUAUAUCUAUUGAGGGCACCACAAUUUUUUUGUUUGUUUGUUUUUGUUUUGUUUUAAAUAAAAUAAUCACUUGUUUUACUAAAAUGUGAUGC
ensembl:lncRNA